rnacentral:rRNA from 1 species
UAACACGUAGGGAACCUGCCCAUGCGGCCGGGACGAACUUCCGGAAACGGAUGCUGAUACCGGAUAAGGAAAGCGAAGGCAUCUUUUGCUUUGUUAAAGGAGCUGCAAGGCUCCGCGCAUGGAUGGACCUGCGGUGCAUUAGCUGGUUGGUGAGGUAAAGGCUCACCAAGGCGACGAUGCAUAGCCGGCCUGAGAGGGCGAACGGCCACACUGGGACUGAGACACGGCCCAGACUCCUACGGGAGGCAGCAG